rnacentral:misc_RNA from 1 species
AAAGUCGUAACAAGGUUUCCGUAGGUGAACCUGCGGAAGGAUCAUUAAUGAAUAAAACCCAUACGGGCUUUUUCAAACUCGUAUCCACCCUAUGUGAACUGUAUAUUUUGUGAUUGGGCUUGGUAGGUUUUUUCCUUCUGGCUGAAAUCGUUUCUGGGCUUAAGCUUUAAGCCUGAGAUGACGAAGGCUGGAAUCGAUAAAGCCCGCCGCUUCCAAGAACAAGCCUGUAUUUAUAAAUUGUCGGCUGAAUUGUAAAGAUUUAUAAUCAAUACAACUUUCAACAACGGAUCUCUUGGCUCCU